rnacentral:rRNA from 1 species
UGGUGGAGUGAUUUGUCUGGUUAAUUCCGCUAACGAACGAGACCCCCGCCUGCUAAAUAGUCCCGGGAAUGCUUUGCAUUGCCGUUGGUGCUUCUUAGAGGGACUGUGUGAGACUAUCACACGGAAGUUGGGGGCAAUAACA